AUUGCUCUUUGAACCUACGGGAGCAGGAAACGCAUUAAAGGCCCGAGAGGACAGGGAUUCAGUGCCAACCAGCACAUUCCUCAUCUCCUUUCAUCCUGCAAGAGGAGAGUGCUUCUGGCUUCUCCAGAAGCGAUAUUACUAGAUUUUGUUCAAAUUUAAGGCUGAUCUCAAGAGUUAACUACCCUUCUGGAUGGGCUUACUAGCUUAUCUCUGAGAAGACAGCAGGGAGGUCCAGAGGGAUGAAGAGCUAGAAAGGGAGGACUGCUCUGCUGGAUGGAGGGAAAGGCAGUUGAACAGACGGAGCUAAGAGGCAGGCCUAAAACCCAUACUUUUUGAUUUUUGCAUGCUACUACAUUUGGGAGGAUUUGUGUAAGAAAGUAACAAUAAUCUCAUCAGAAAAUGGAGGAUAAUAUGAAUUUCAGUAAGUGUGAAAAGCUGGGACAAGCUGUGCAUAAACAUUCUGUUGAAGCAGCUUUCUGCCAGUGCCUGGUCUCCCUCACAUUUCGUUGUGAAAGGUGAUCAGAAGAGAAAUACGGAUUUAAGGUACAAGAAGACUAAGCUGUCACACUGGCUGUCUGUGUCACAGCAAGGAGAAGAACCUGCAUUUUCCACUCUUAGCACUGUAACCUUGAUCUCUACUAGCAACACCCAUCUUGAAGCUUUUGCAUACUGAUGUUCCAAAUAAAAGUUUGUG